ACGAACGCUGGCGGCGUGCCUAAUACAUGCAAGUCGAACGCUUCUUUCCUCCCGAGUGCUUGCACUCAAUUGGAAAGAGGAGUGGCGGACGGGUGAGUAACCCGUGGGUAACCUACCCAUCAGAGGGGGAUAACACUUGGAAACAGGUGCUAAUACCGCAUAACAGUUUAUGCCGCAUGGCAUAAGAGUGAAAGGCGCUUUCGGGUGUCGCUGAUGGAUGGACCCGCGGUGCAUUAGCUAGUUGGUGAGGUAACGGCUCACCAAGGCCACGAUGCAUAGCCGACCUGAGAGGGUGAUCGGCCACACUGGGACUGAGACACGGCCCAGACUCCUACGGGAGGCAGCAGUAGGGAAUCUUCGGCAAAGGACGAAAGUCUGACCGAGCAACGCCGCGUGAGUGAAGAAGGUUUUCGGAUCGUAAAACUCUGUUGUUAGAGAAGAACAAGGACGUUAGUAACUGAACGUCCCCUGACGGUAUCUAACCAGAAAGCCACGGCUAACUACGUG
rnacentral:rRNA from 1 species